rnacentral:lncRNA from 1 species
AACCAAUACAUCAUACAAUUACUUUUUUAACCAAAUCAUGUUAUUUUGUUGCAUAAUUCCAUUUAUCACAAACCUAUCGAAAUUAUAUUCAAAUUACAAAAUGGUGAAUUUGAAUUUAACAUUUUCCAAACUAAAAACAAAAUAUUGAGUUGUCUUCAAUUUUGACAUUAGUAUUUUCAUAUGAACCAAACUCUUAACUAAAAGUGUUGAACAUAAGUUGUUUAUACAAUCAUGCCAGUGCAAUUAAAAUCUUUUUGGUUUAAGACUUUUGGUCAGUAAUUAUAUUAUGUAAAAGACAACAAAAAUUAAGUGUCAAAUAAAAGUAAUCAAAUAUUGCUUAUAAUAAAACAGCUAGCAUAUAAAGUAUAACAAAGAAAACUAUUAGAACAUAGAGUACAUGCUAGUGUGUCGCCUCCUUUGGCUGUUAUCCCUGGCUCAACAAAAAUAGGGAAAAAAAUCAUUAAAAUUUUCACUCUAGAUACUAUCUUUUGAUUGAAAGAAGCUUUUGUCCAAGGUAAUAAUACAUGAUGGUUUUUGAAUCUAAUAAAUCUUUUUAAAUUUUUAACUGCAGACUGUAUGUAAUGUUUAAUGAAAGAAAAUACAAGUCCAUAUAUAAUCAUUGACAUACGGAAAACAAGGAAUACAUUUCCCUUUAGAUACUAGUUUAUGAUCACAAACAUACUCCAGUUUUGUCGAAAUCAAGUACAGUUUAAGUUGAAUGUUCCUCUGAUAUCUUUUGACCCUCUUUUAUUCAAUUUUUUAAAACUUUAAUCAAUGAGUUAAUGUAAAUGUAUGAAAGGUUAAAAGUGAAAUACAGAAAAAAUAAGGGUAAAAAAAUGCCAAACUUUCCUGUGGAUACCUUAUUUUAAUCAUUAGCAAGCUUCUAUGCAAGUUUGGUAAAAAUAUUAAAAAUCCAGGAUGGUGGAAGAUAGAUAUUACAACUUUCAUCACAGAGUUAAUAUUAUGUUUACUCGAGGAAAAACUACGCCAAUGUGUAAGUAAAAUAUGUAAAAACAUAAAUUAAUAUUUGACAAAAUUUUCUUCUGGAUACUAUCUUUAAAUCAUAAACAAGCUUGAUAAAUUUCCUGGAUAGUAUACGAAAAGUGUCAAUACUUUUAAAAACUUUAAAUUUCUGUUGACGUCGCCACAGCCGCAGCCGACGAAGAAGAGUGUAGGAUCGCUUUGUCUCGCUUAUGC